UGGUUUUCCACAUUGAACAAAGGUUAAAAAUUGAGAAUGACCACGCUGUGGGCCAUGACAGCUAUGAAGUUCUAUAUUUUCAUGAAUUAAAAAAAAGUAACAUUUUGAGAAAAGAACUAUAUAUUUGAGGUAGAGUACUUAAUUAAAGCACCAAGUCCAAAUCAAUUGAAGAAAGAAAUCCUCAUGGAUGAAAAAGUGAGCUCAGAGAGCCCAGAGUAGCCUGAGGAGCUUGUCGAGUUUGAGAGGCAUUAGCAGAAAAAUCGGGCUUCCCUGGUGGCUCAGACAGUAAAGAAUCUGCCUGCAGUGCAGGAGACUGGGGUUCAAUCCUUGGAUCAGAAAUGAUGCAGAAGGGAAUGGCUACCCACUCCAGUAUUCUUGCCUGGAAAAAUCUCAUGGACAGAGGAGCAUGGUAGGUUCCAUGGGGUUGCAAAGAGUCAGACACAACUGAGCGACUAAGCAAAUACACACCCAGAAGAAAGAAGAGCAGAAUGGAUCACAGAGAAUUUGGGCCCACCCCGACUCCGGUCCUUUCCAAAGUGUGUGUGAAAAAGAAAUGCUCACAUGAACCCUGAAAGCUGGUAAGGCAGAAGCCAGAGGCUCGAGGUGGACGGACGCAGCAGCUCCUGAGGCAGGGAGGCCGUGAACUCCGAGCUCUGCAGGGAAUUAUCACUAUGUCAGGAAAAGUAAAUCGUGAGUGCAGGCACAGGAUGUCUCUGGGAAGACCAAUGAAAGGCACAAUGGCUGCUUCCUGGAGAGGAGCUGAACCCUGAGGGAUAGAAGUGGAAGGAGUCUGACUUUCCACUGUACACCUUUUAACAUUUUG
rnacentral:lncRNA from 1 species